CUUCAGUACCUCUAGGGUUUGCAAAUGGGACCCUAAUUCAGAGUAAACACACAUUUGAGGUAGAACAAAGAAGAUGAAGAGAUCAGAGAUGGGGAAAAAGAAGCUGGCCUUCUGUCUUGGCUGCGGUGUUCUGAAGCCAAGAUACACACUGUGCAGCUGUGAAUAUGCCUGAGGAGGCUGUCUUCUUGGAUUUAUGAACCAUUCCUAAGGGAUCCAGAGGAUAUCACACCCCUGCCUCAACAGAGCUCUAGAAAUCCUGACCCUCUUGCUUCAUCUCUAUAGGAAGGGUCUGCUGGGAAAGCAUCAUCCUGACCUUCCACCAUCAGUGAGCUCGUAGAGUGAUUUAGAAGUUAAAGAAACUGACUAUUGAGCUCCAGAAGAUGACCUCUGAGUUUGCUUGAGACCUGAAGCCAGGUAGACUAUGGAAAUGGGAACUCCUUUUGGAGGAAUCUGCUUACGUUGGAGUAACUGGGAAACUGUGACCAAGGUCAUCCAGUCAUCCCAGAAACCAUAUGCUGAGAUAGAGCACUGAAACUUGCAGGGGCCUUGGGAUUGAUCAUUUGUUCACAGAAAGCCAAAGCUGAACUGGAGCAAACUCAACAAAGAAAGAAGUUUUGUGAGAACUACAGAAAUACAUAUAUUGGAUAGGAAUGCUUCUUGUCUAAACUGCCAGUCAUCCACGAGGGCAUUAGCGGAUACAGCAUCAUACCUCAGCAUAUCUUAUUGUAAAGGUUGGAGCAGAACUGUCAAAUCUCAUCCUGUGUUAUGAUGUAUAUUAGCCUCAUCAGAUUAAAUUAAGAAUUGAAAAACUACCCCGGGAUUGAAAGUGGGAAGCUGCAGCCUGACAUCACGGCUCAGGAGUAUAGGCAUGGGAAGACCCAGUCUGGGAAGAUGUUACUGUUCAUAGAGCCCACCUUCCACUAUUGCGGAAAUACUGAAGACGUCCUCAAUCAACUCCCUUUCAAGCAUGGUCUUCUGGGAUUUGUAGACAUCAGAGCCACUAACAACACCAAUUCAAUUCAAGAUUACUUACAAUACCUCACUGGACUUAGAACAGUCCCUUGGGUCUUUAUAGGUAAUCAAAGACUUCAUAGGCAGACACAGUGAUCUAAUCUCCCUAUAACAGAAUGGGUAGCUGAUGACGUGGCCGAAAGAGAUUGGAGCUCUGCUGUUAUGAAAAGGGUGGCAGUAAAUCCCAUGUUGACAGCUGUCAUUCAGGCAUGUUGAAGGCCAGUGCACCUGGGAGUUAAUGGGCAUCAUGGAGGAGGACAGUAUUUUCUUGUGACUUGGAUUUUCAGAAAAUUGGCUUUUAUUCUAUUCCUCAGUGCUUAAUUAUGAUGCUGUCUGCAUGAAACCAUGAAGUAUGGAAUCUUAACAGAUCACACAGAAUGGAUUAUCCAUACUUCAUGUGCUGACAUGUCUCUAACUCUAAGCCCAUGUUUCACAAUCCAGUGCAUCUAAAUCUCCAGUGAAUCAAUUACUGAUUUUCUACCAUGCUGUUCUGCUGAUAUCAUUUUGCAGAAGUCCACUUCCUAAUGAUUAUUAAAGCAAUGAAUAUUGUGAA